AGAAGGUGUCUUCCAGGAACUGGCAGUAGGACUGGGAGUUGAGCUUGACUCCAUCCUCAACCCGAAAAGGCCCCACAAGCUCAUCUUUGAUGAUACCAGCCCAAACCAGUACUCCACCGCCACCUUGCUGGCGUCUGAGUCGGACUGGAGCUCUCUGCCCUUUACCAAUCCAGCCACGGGCCCAUCCAUCUGGCCCAUCAAGACUCACUCUCAUUUCAUCAGUCCAUAAAACCUUAGAAAAAUCAGUCUUGAGAUAUUUCUUGGCCCAGUCUUGACGUUUCAGCUUGUGUGUCUU